rnacentral:rRNA from 1 species
AUUGAACGCUGGCGGCAUGCCUUACACAUGCAAGUCGAACGGCAGCACGGGAGCUUGCUCCUGGUGGCGAGUGGCGAACGGGUGAGUAAUGCAUCGGAACGUGCCCUGAAGUGGGGGAUAACGUAGCGAAAGUUACGCUAAUACCGCAUAUUCUGUGAGCAGGAAAGCAGGGGAUCUUCGGACCUUGCGCUUUUGGAGCGGCCGAUGUCGGAUUAGCUAGUUGGUGGGGUAAAGGCCCACCAAGGCGACGAUCCGUAGCGGGUCUGAGAGGAUGAUCCGCCACACUGGAACUGAGACACGGUCCAGACUCCUACGGGAGGCAGCAGUGGGGAAUUUUGGACAAUGGGCGCAAGCCUGAUCCAGCCAUGCCGCGUGAGUGAAGAAGGCCUC